rnacentral:rRNA from 1 species
UACGUAGGGGGCAAGCGUUGUUCGGAAUUACUGGGCGUAAAGCGUGCGUAGGCGGUUCGUUAAGUCUGUUGUGAAAGCCCCGGGCUCAACCUGGGAAUGGCAAUGGAUACUGGCGAGCUAGAGUGUGUCAGAGGAUGGUGGAAUUCCCGGUGUAGCGGUGAAAUGCGUAGAGAUCGGGAGGAACAUCAGUGGCGAAGGCGGCCAUCUGGGACAACACUGACGCUGAGGCACGAAAGCGUGGGGAGCAAACAGG